CACUUGCAGCAAGAGGACUGCACCCUGUGUACCUGUAAACCACCGUUCUUAAAACUAUGCAACUCAUUUGAAGCAGAUAAAGUUAUCUCGAUAUCCGCUGUUUGCCUUCUACUCUUCUGUUUUCCUAUGGAGAGCACUUGUCCCUGCUCUAAGUCUCUGCCCAGCUGCUGGCCUGCAGGCACACCUGGAUGGAGCCAAGGCACAUCUGUACCGUAAUGCUCUGCACAGUGCCUGUGGAAUGGACGUCCCCUCUGAGGAGCAGAGGUCCCCUCUCAGGACCCUGAAGGCUGCCCCAGCAGGUCACAUCAAACCCUCCUGAGAAGGAGCCUAUUUCUCUUCCUGGCCUGGCAUCAUCACUAGAGCAGCACAAGAGAGAGCUGGAAGCACAAAGCUCAACUAUAUCAUAGGAUUGACCACGAAGGCUUUUCAGCACCAAUCUUCACUGCUACACACUUCCAGAGGUGAGAAAGGCCAUGAGUGAGGAGCAUAGAGGUGAGUAUGUAUAUUAAUACCAGUUUGGUUCAAAUUGAUGACGUCCCCAGAAAAAAAAAAAAACCAAACCAAAACAAAAAAACUGAAGAUCAACGCAUUUCAAGAACCAAACAAAAACAGUGCAAUGUAGUGCACUUACUUUGGGGGCUUUGGAAAUGCGUACUGUUUUUAAAAGACAAAUACACUAAUGGAGUUCCUGUUCCUUAAUUCUCCUUUUCUGGGCAAACCCAAAAUUAAAGUUUUUUUUACCAUCCUCUUAAGAAAGGAAUGUCUUGUGGGAGAUGCUUAUUAAAAUCUUGGCAGUGUAUCAUUGCAAUGCACCUUUCCAAACAAACCCACAAAACUUAUGACUGCUCCAUGGUGUUUAAUUUGUAACAACGAGUUCUGCUGCUAUUGUAAAAAUACCAGCUGACUUUUAACAGGACCAUUAAUUGAUACUGUAACUUAUUAGAACUCUUGUUUAAAUGGCAAUAAAAUGUUAAACAUUCUUGAAUGUAUUAAUAAAGAAGGGCAAUUAGACAUGCUUGUUUCAGGAAUCUUGAUAAAUUAAUAAAUCUUGAGUUAAUUACAGUGCCAGGCAGUGAGAUUUAUCUCUCAGAGACUGCAAUCAGUACAUUUUAAAAAGGACUCUUAUCACAGUUAAAUACAUGUGUGCAACAAUGGUUAACUGGCUUAGUAAAUCUGGCAGGAAUGCUUGUGAGAGAUGACAACUCUAUAGUUUAUUCUCUUCGUUAUCUAUCAUUAUUUUUUUCAAAGUUUAGAUGAGAUCAAGUUAACACUGUAAUCUGAACAUUUCCAGAGGUGUAGGGUGAGGUUUGGCCAUCUAUUUUUUCUUUGGAUCCUUCGGUACCAUUCAUUACCGGAGGAUUUUGAUCAGAACUAGGUCAUCUUAAAUAAUAGGUAAGUGACACUGUACAUAAACCAAAGACAUUUCCCACCUACCAGUUUCAUCUCACUCCAUCUCUGAGGUGGAAGAGCAAACAGAUUAGAGUCAUGUCUGAAUACAGACCUGAAAUGCUGUCUGCUUUCCCAUUGGAACCACUUGCUCUAGGACUGUAUCAGUACAUACAGGAGGUGUUUGCUUAAAUCUUGCUAUAUACGUGGUGACUCACCUUUCAUUUAGCACUGGUUUUGGUAAGUACAUGUAUUUUUAUACAUAGGGACUUUGAUACAAUACACCCUUGCUAACAUUCUGCAAAUCUUUGUGUUGCAGUUUUUAUGCCUGUCUGCCUGAACAUCUGGUCUGCUGUAAUUGGUGACAAUGUUCUAGUUGAUUUUUAAAGGUGCUUAUUGAUUUAAUCUAUACAUUUAUGGGUAUCCUAUAUCCAGGAGUAAUGCUUAGUAGCCUUUCUACUUUUACAACUGUUUCACUCUCUUUGAAAUGUUGAGUUAUUCUCUUGAACUUUGCCUGUACUGGCCAAGACCCAGUGGGACUAUUCUACACAGUAUAGUAAAUAAUAUGUGGAUUAUUUACUUUUUUUAUUUAUCUGUUCAAUAACACCCCACUCUCCCUCUGAUCCCCAUGAAAUUCUCCAGAACUCAUUGCUUUUCAGACCUCAGUUUCUGAGGUGGAAUUUAAAUAAAACUUGAUGGGAAUGCAGACGGGAGAGACUACUGGCUCCAGCUGUAGGACACAAGAAGCCUGGACUCCAUACCAUUAUUCCCCAAACUCAAAAGCUAGAGAAGUAAUGUUUCAAAAAAGAGGUAUGUGGUUAGUAACACAACAGUUUAAACAGUAUACUUCUGACAUGACGCAAACUGGAAAUGACCUCAUGCUUAGUACAGCUCAGAGUGUAAAAUUCAAUUUAAGAACACUAUUCUGCCAUGGUCAUGCAAUUUAAAUCAUACAUGUUGCACCACAUUUUCAUACUAAGUAUCAUUUUUUUGACUGAUGGAACAUGGAUUUGAAGCUGAAGAACAGUACAAGAGGCAGAACAUAAGCAGGAACUUGUCUUUUAAGAUCAUGUGAAGAGGAACCAAAGACUUUUAUUAACUUAAUGUAACUCAAGACCCAGUGAAAGCAGGUAAGCUGUAUUCAUCAGCAAUAAGCAUGGCAAAAAUUGACCCACAAUCACAUGGAGAUCACAUUUUAUUAAUUCUGCUCUUUACUAAGCAACUGGCACAUAAAUGCAAAAGCUUAAGUGAGUAUUUACGUCAACCAUUUACUAGAGAGAUAAGACCCUUAAAUGAACUCUUAUAAUAGAAAACCUUAUGAAAGGCAAUCAAAAGCAACAUUGAAAAAUCUAGUUUCAAUUUUGCAUAGCAACCUUUUCCAUCCGUUCCUUUUAACCAGAGAGUUAUUCAAGUUUGUGUUUGCAUUCAAUAAAUCCAGUGGAUACACACUAUAUUUUGCUUUUGGUAAGCUACUGUUUUACCUGGAUAAUUUUUUUAUUGAUGCCUCCAAGUCAGAGAUUCUCUUUGCUGGAUUCCUGCAGUAACUGACAGUCAAGUCUCAUAAUAAACUAUCGGUCUGUGUUAGCUAUUACUAAAGAAGGGCCAAUUGUUUUUGAAGCCUGGAGAGAGAUUUCUGCUUUCUCUCUCACUCUUUGAACACAAUGACAUUACUUCAGUUUUACAACAGUCUCCCUGAAGCUGAGGAUCUGUCCCAAGAAGUUUACCUUUGAGAGAGGUGGAUAAAGAAUGAUGAUUAUGACUCCAAAUUCUAAUCAUUAUAGCCUAGCUUAGCAGAAUGACAACAGUGUGGAUAGCAACAGGGUCAUUUCUGUAAUGAGAAAGCCAGUGCUAUUUGUAUUGUGUGGUUUUUUAUGAUUAGAGAAGCAAAUCUAAGCAAUUUGUAAGGAAGUUAAUUACUUUACAAAUGUGCUCAGAUUUGCUUGUCUGCAAAGCUGUAUGCCAAAAGAUGUUUACCCAGGUCUUGCUUGGAUUAAUGGUGAGAGGCCAGGGGAUCAGCACAAUGUUGGUGCAGUGCAGAGCUGUGGGAGGGAGCCCUGGACUCUCCUGAGUGGGUGGCUGCGAGCGUGCUGUGCAAUACUGCCUCAUGCAGAGACGUUAGAGUCCAAUUUGAGUAGGCAUCUUGUUUCUGUGAGCGAUCACAUCCCCUGUUCCCCUGACUUUCUACAAGGUGGGAUCAGGAAACCCUUGCUUCAUUUUGGGACAGAAUACCACCUACUCAGUGCUGUAUUUGCUCUGUUUAAGGCGGGGACUCCCCCUCCUGCUCCAUUUAUGAUCUUUGUGUCUUGCUGGCUGUCUGGGUGGGAUGCUCAGCUGGCCUCUGCUCUUCUUGGCACAGAGACAACCAGAUCCCUUGGGCUCAACAAAUAGGAGUUAGCCUGCAGCUCAUCAGGCAUCACCAUGUGCUGUGUCUACUUUUUUCUAUCUGCUUGUGUGGAUACCUGUUUAAACAGUAUUUGGGAGGAAAAUUUAGAAUAGUCAGGAUUGAGGUUACCAUCCAGCACACUGUAUUUAAAAGCCACAGUCCCCCGUUGGAAGCAGACCUGUGCAUACCCUGGUGCCUCAACACCAGCCACAAACCAAUGGGCUGAGCUUCUGCAUGCACCCAUCCAGGUACCAUGGCAGCUUCCUCACUCCUAGUCAAGAAAGUCUGCAUAAUGCUAGCACACAGCUGGUGGGGCUUACUUGUAAGGGUAUGAUGCAUCUUCAUUCAUAUUUAUCAGAGGGUCUGGUGAUCUGCAGCCGAGGAGAACAGAAACAAUAACUAUCGGAAUUGUUCAGCUGAACUGAAACUGGUUGAUGUCUCUCACAGACCUUGUCCUUUCAAUUAAAUUGGGGAAGUGCCAAGACCUCUGUCCUGUGAACUCAGAUUGUCCCCAACAGUGCUAGGUUUUAGGUCCAUCUCCAAUGUCAGCAUCAGCUCAGGGCUGUCCCACUCUGUCACUUGGCCUGAUCUGAGAUCUUUUACCCUUCUUUUCUCCACCUACUUUUAUUAAAAAAGGGAAGGAAAAAAAAAUUAAAUUAUAACUUUCAACCCAAAUUCUGAAUAAGUGUUUUUAACUGAAAAGUGGAGGAAGAAGAAAAACUAUCUUCUCUGCCCAAUGCCAGAAUUACCGUCUUUCAGAGGUGAAGUUUCUCUCAUCAUACCACAUUCCUCUUGUAAUUAAAUUAGCAAUUAAUUUUAAAACAGAAAGGAUUGAGGACUGAUUUUCUUUAAAGUGCUGAUUUUUCUUUAAAGCCUGUAUUCCUUUAUAUAACCCCACUUCCUUUGUCUAAUCCGCCCUUCAGCUUAGCCACUGAGGUGAUGGCUCUCUGGGACAGUUUUCCAAAGCUAUGACAAUGUCUUUUCUAGCUGUAUGCCUGAUUUCCAUGCCAGAUCUGACAAGUCACCAUUUCAGAUGAACCAUCCUGCUGAUAACAACAAAAGUGAAACAUCAAUAACUACAUGGGGAAAAAAAAGAGGUCACAAGGGUUCAUGCUUUAGCACUUUUCUUAAACUUUUGCUUUCUUCACCUCACUUAUAUCUUUGCGCUGGCUGUGGCCUCAAAACUGGUCUCACUUAAUUUCUCUAGCUUUUAAAGUGACAUGAUUGCCCAAGCAAUUUUCUGCAUUCUUGGGAGAUAUUCCUACGCAAGUGGCCACUUCUUCCACCUGAAGUUAAGGUCUAAGUGGAUCCAAGGCAGUGCUUUUUGUUUUAUACCCAAGGGAAGAAGAUGUGACCAACAGAGACAGUGCUGUCCUGAGUACUUACUGCUGUCAGGUCCUCCAGACGGUGCUGCCAAAAUAAGAACAGAGUGUCCAUCCUGGAUCCCAUCUCCCACUUGUGACAAGCUGCCAUCCUCACAGGGAUAUCACACUCCUCUUCCCAUGACCUUGGCUGGAUCCUACUGUGCUUUGAUCCUGUGUAAUUUUUUGUGUGUUCAGCUAAUAAUUUUGCACUGUUAAUACACUGUAAAUGCUGCUAAUAAUGUAUUUACAAUAAUAAUUUACCCAUGAUGUACACGGGGCUGCUUUUGCUUGCCCCCAGUAUGUCAAGAAAGUUUAAAAUUAAGAGCUUCAGAAACAAGAUUAGUUCAUUAAGGGGGCUCCAUCCCCUUGGUGCUGGUGAAGAAGUGGGAAAGGAAGGUGAUGAUAGAUUCGCAUGAGGAAGGGAGCCACAUAACCAGGAAGAGGACUUGUUGCUGCCUGCAGUGAGACCAGCACGACCACAGAUCUGCAAUGGACUCAUGCUAUGUGUGUAUGGCAUGCGCUGCCCACGUUCCACAUCUGGGGUUGGGGAUGAAAUCAGUGCAAGCCCCUCUGAUCCCCACAUCCUCUCACCCUGAUUACUAAAGCAAGGACACAUAAGUAUGAGGACUAUAUUGAUUUGAGUGGUGGUGUUGCUUCAGUCGGCAUGUGUUGCUCUGCUGUGUCGCUCUGUGAUGUUGAACUCAGACGCUGGGAGAAGCAGCAGAGCUGUCACGCUGCUGGGCACGGAGUUCCCUUGCCUGGCUCUGAAGGGCAGUGCCAAACAGCCAUCACAGCUUCCCUUUCUGCAUUUGACACACGGCAUAUACUGUGCCAGAUGGAGCUGAAAGGAGAUUUUCUUUAUAAAGCCUCAGUAGAUCUGUCCUCUAGGAGCUGUGUACAUCCAGUCUGGAGUCUGCAAGGGAGAAUGCAAACCUUGUGCUGUGGUCAGAGUUCCCUCAGGUACUGCAGAUGUGCCACAUCUGGCUGUCAGGCUGAAAUACGGGACACUCGCAUAUGUGUGUGACUGGUUGCAAGCGUCUUCUGCUGGUAUCUUCUGAAGUACACCAGUGUAGCAGCAAACAGGGCUGAGCAGCUUUCUGCCACGAUGAAGGAGAGUGAAACAGACCUACCUGCUGCAUUUGCAGCAAUGUAGCAGAGACAUUUCUUUCAGCUGGGAAAGCUCCUAUGGGACUAGUAAGAAUUCAUCCACUUUUAAAAAUUGCACUCUUUUGUGCAGUUUUGGAAGCAUGAGUUUUGCUGGGCGUGGAGUCCAGACUCCUAGGAAGAUGAGCGAAAAGCCCUAAUAGUUGCAUCCUCUUAGGAAAACUGGGCGGCAAUGAGGGAAAUUUUCCCCAUAAAAUGAUGAAGCCCAGAGUUAUAGCAUGCUGUGAUAGACAGUAAUGUACCUGCUGAAGGAAAGCCAAAUUGAAACCUGGUGGAAACUGGUGUCUCCCAUGCACUGGGGGAUUCGUACCUGCUUCCACGGGCCCGCAUUAGUCCUGCCUGGAAACGACUUUAGAAUUCUACAGUGAUCAGAUAUAAUUGCAGCAAAUGAAGUCACUAAUAUCUCUAAAACCAUGGUGGACACUGGCAAAACAAAUAGACAUGUCUGAUGCAGUAAAA